GGGGGUGAACGGUUUCGACUCUGGACGUUGAGUCAAGGGAAGCGUGCAGGUGCAGGCGUACGACCACCUCAAGCGUCGAACGCAAAAAAAUAAGCGCCAAGACUAACAGUCGCGCUGACUACGAACUCGCUGCCUAAGCGAGUAUCGGGUCUGUCGGCCCAGGGGUGCCUCCGCCCUGGCUCGCCGGCAUCAGCUAGGAGGCUUACCGCCAGGCCCGGUCACGGGGCCUGAUCGGGAAACCCACAGUGACUGGGCCCGUCAUACCGACUAGUUCGCGUGAUCGGUAGGGCCAAGCAGAGACACAGCGAACUGCGCACGGAGAAGCCUUGUCAAGGCGACAGAGGACCCGGGUUCGAUUCCCGGCACCUCCAC
rnacentral:tmRNA from 1 species